rnacentral:rRNA from 1 species
AUACGGAGGAUCCGAGCGUUAUCCGGAUUUAUUGGGUUUAAAGGGUGCGCAGGCGGCCAUUUAAGUCAGCGGUUAAAUCGUGGGGCUCAACCCCAUUCUGCCGUUGAUACUGGGUGGCUUGAUUGCGGUCGAGGUUGGCGGAAUUCGUUGUGUAGCGGGGAAAUGCAUAGACGUGACGAAGAACACCGAUUGCGUAGGCAGCUGACCAGACCGCAAAUGACGCUCAUGCACGAAAGUGCGGGGAUCGAACAGGAUUAGAUACCCUGGUAGUCCGCACAGUAAACGAUGAAUACUUGUUUUCGGCGAUAUAAUGUCGGAGGCAAAGCGAAAGCGAUAAGUAUUCCACCUGGGGAGUACGCCGGCAACGGUGAAACUUAAAGGAAUUGACGGGG